rnacentral:rRNA from 1 species
AUUGAACGCUGGCGGCAGGCUUAACACAUGCAAGUCGAACGAGCGGCGGACGGGUGAGUAAUGUAUGGGGACUGCCCGAUAGAGGGGGAUAACUACUGGAAACGGUAGCUAAUACCGCAUACUAUCGGAUAACCCAUAUGGGAUUAGCUAGUUGGUGAGGUAAUGGCUCACCAAGGCGACGAUCCCUAGCUGGUCUGAGAGGAUGAGCAGCCACACUGGGACUGGGACACGGCCCAGACUCCUCCGGAGGCAGCAGUGGGGAAUGUUGCACAAGGGGCGCAAGCCUGAUGCAGCCAUGCCGCGUGUAUGAAGAAGGCCUUCGGGUUGUAAAGUACUUUCAGUCGGGAGGCGUUACCGACAGAAGAAGCGCCGGCUAACUCCGUGCCAGCCGCCGCGGUAAUUC